CUACGGGAUGCACCAGUGAGGAAUAUUGCACAAUGGGGGGAACCCUGAUGCGGCAACGCCGCGUGGAGGAUGACGCAUUUCGGUGUGUAAACUCCUUUUAUAUGUCAAGAAAAUGACGGUAGCAUAUGAAUAAGCACCGGCUAACUCCGUGCCAGCAGCCGCGGUAAUACGGAGGGUGCAAGCGUUACUCGGAAUCACUGGCGUAAAGGACGCGUAGGCGGGUUGGAAAGUCAGGUGUGAAAUCCUACAGCUUAACUGUAGAACUGCACUUGAAACUUCUAAUCUAGAGUAUGGGAGGGGGAGAUGGAAUUAGUGGUGUAGGGGUAAAAUCCGUAGAUAUCACUAGGAAUACCUAAAGCGAAGGCGAUCUCCUGGAACAUUACUGACGCUAAGGCGUGAAAGCGUGGGGAGCAAACAGGAUUAUACCCGGGUAGUC
rnacentral:rRNA from 1 species